GACGAACGCUGGCGGCGUGCUUAACACAUGCAAGUCGAACGGAAAGGCCCUGCUUUUGUGGGGUGCUCGAGUGGCGAACGGGUGAGUAACACGUGAGUAACCUGCCCUUGACUUUGGGAUAACUUCAGGAAACUGGGGCUAAUACCGGAUAGGAGCUCCUGCUGCAUGGUGGGGGUUGGAAAGUUUCGGCGGUUGGGGAUGGACUCGCGGCUUAUCAGCUUGUUGGUGGGGUAGUGGCUUACCAAGGCUUUGACGGGUAGCCGGCCUGAGAGGGUGACCGGCCACAUUGGGACUGAGAUACGGCCCAGACUGCUACGGGAGGCAGCAGUGGGGAAUAUUGCACAAUGGGCGGAAGCCUGAUGCAGCAAAGCCGCGUGCGGGAUGACGGCCUUCGGGUUGUAAACCGCUUUCGCCUGUGACGAAGCGUGAGUGACGGUAAUGGGUAAAGAAGCACCGGCUAACUACGUG
rnacentral:rRNA from 1 species